UAUUCUCAGGGCGGGGUGGAAUUCCCCACCGGCGGUAUCCCGGUUUUCCGGGGAGCCCGCGAGCGCUCCUUUCGACGCGAAGGGAGGUCAGCAGACCUGGUGAGAGGCCAGGGCCGACGGUCACAGUCCGGAUGGGAGAGAAU
rnacentral:ncRNA from 1 species